UACGGAGGAUCCAAGCGUUAUCCGGAUUUAUUGGGUUUAAAGGGUGCGUAGGCGGAUUGAUAAGUUAGAGGUGAAAUGUCCGAGCUCAACUCGGGAACCGCCUCUAAUACUGUUGAUCUAGAGAGUAGAUGCGGUAGGCGGAAUGUAUGGUGUAGCGGUGAAAUGCUUAGAGAUCAUACAGAACACCGAUUGCGAAGGCAGCUUACCAAUCUAUAUCUGACGUUGAGGCACGAAAGCGUGGGGAGCAAACAGG
rnacentral:rRNA from 1 species